rnacentral:lncRNA from 1 species
AACAGAUCAGAUCAUCACAUCAGUUCCCUUGCCAUCAUUAUGUCAUCAGCAUCUCCGGACACUUAAAGGCUGUAAAUGCUGGACAGAUUUCAGCUCUCGGCAACUUUAUCCAGCACAGGUACCGCACGAGUUCAUGCUGACUUUACGCGGUUGUUCUUUCGCUUUGGCUAAAACAUCCUGAUUUUACGUUCUCACAAGCCAGAGAUGAGCCAAAUGAAGCUGGCUCAAGCUGGACUUCUCCUCUGGGUGUGUGUAAUGAACAGGGUCCUGGACACGGCAGCAGCACUGUCAAUCACCCAGUGUGUGAUCAUGCAGUACACCAACAUCACCUGUUACUGGGAAGCAACCGGCCACCACCACCACAUCAGCAGCUACAGGCUUCAGAUUAACAAAACCGCUUGUGAAAGUAAACACCGCUUCAUCCCGGUGGGUUUCUGUAAUACCAGAGGCUCUGACUGCUCCGUUCAGCCCAUCGAUUCAGCGUUACACUGUUUCUGUGCGGAUGUGCUGGCGACCACACGCACCGGAUCCAUACGCUCACCUCCGUACUUCUUCCGUGGGGUCAAAGCAGGUAUACUGCACAUCACGAAACAACAUUAAUGUACUGUACAC